AUCAAUCCGAAGACGUGAUGCGGACCGAAUUAAGAGUAGGGAAGUGUGUGAGCCAUGCGUCAAGAAAAGCCGCUAUUGUUUUACUUAAGCCCGUACCGUAAACCGACACAGGUGGAUGAGGAGAGAAUCCUAAGGCCGACGGGAGAAGCAUUGUUAAGGAACUCGGCAAAAUGACUCCGUAACUUCGGGAGAAGGAGUGCCAGCGAGAGCUGGCCGCAGAGAAUUGGCCCAAGCAACUGUUUAGCAAAAACACAGGUCUAUGCAAAACCGUAAGGUGAAGUAUAUGGGCUGACGCCUGCCCGGUGCUGGAAGGUUAAGAGGAGAGGUUAGCGGCAACGCGAAGCUUUGAAUUUAAGCCCCAGUAAACGGCGGCCGUAACAAUAACGGUCCUAAGGUAGCGAAAUUCCUUGUCGGGUAAGUUCCGACCCGCACGAAAGGCGUAAUGAUUUGGGCACUGUCUCAACAAUGCACCCGGUGAAAUUGAAAUACCAGUGAAGAUGCUGGUUACCUGCGCCAGGACGGAAAGACCCCAUGGAGCUUUACUCCAGCUUGAUACUGGGAUUCGGUAUUGCAUGUACAGGACAGGUGGGAGGCUAGGAAGUGAUAACGCCAGUUGUCACGGAGCCGCUGUUGGGAUACCACCCUUGCAGUAUUGGAUUUCUAACCAGCGACCAUGAACUGGUCGGGGGACAAUGUCAGGUGGGGAGUUUGACUGGGGCGGUCGCCUCCGAAAGGGUAUCGGAGGCGCUCAAAGGUUCCCUCAGAAUGGACGGAAACCAUUCGAAGAGUGCAAAGGCAGAAGGGAGCUUGACUGCGACACCGACGGGUGGAGCAGGUACGAAAGUAGGACUUAGUGAUCCGGUGGUAUAAAGUGGGAUUGCCAUCGCUCAACGGAUAAAAGCUACCCUGGGAUAACAGGCUUAUCACUCCCAAGAGUUCACAUCGACGGAGUGGUUUGGCACCUCGAUGUCGGCUCAUCGCAUCCUGGGGCUGAAGUAGGUCCCAAGGGUUGGGCUGUUCGCCCAUUAAAGCGGUACGCGAGCUGGGUUCAGAACGUCGUGAGACAGUUCGGUCCCUAUCCGGCGUGGGCGUAGGAUAUUUGAGAGGAGCUGUCCUUAGUACGAGAGGACCGGGAUGGACUGGCCGCUGGUGUAUCUGUUGCAUACCAAGUGCAUGGCAGAGUAGCCAAGCCGGGACGGGAUAAACGCUGAAGGCAUCUAAGCGUGAAGCCCCCCUCAAGAUGAGAUAUCCCUACGUAAGUAGUAAGACCCCUUGAAGACGACGAGGUAGAUAGGUCAGAGGUGGAAGUACAGUAAUGUAUGGAGCUGACUGAUACUAAUCGGUCGAGGGCAUGGCC
rnacentral:rRNA from 1 species